CUAGAGAGUUUGAGAAAACUCCCAAACCCUUUGUGAACGUACCCGAUAGUUUGCUUCGGCAGGCGGUCCCCGGGGGGACCUCCUGCCCGCCUCCGGGCGGGUGCCUGCCGCGAGGCCACUAUGAAACUCUUUGCUGUAACCGGUCGUCUGAGACGAGAGCCCGCCGAGAGGCGGCGCAAAAUAUAGUCA
rnacentral:misc_RNA from 1 species